UCCUCAGCGUAGCAGAGGCUUUCAUUGAGGCAGAGGCGGUUUUCGCGGACGGGAUGAGUGAAGGAAACUUGAAGUUGGAGAACUGACGGUGAAUGGAACAACAUGCACAACUGUAAAAGAAAAUCAAGUUGUCGUCUUCAGGUGUAUGGUUGAGGGUCCUCUAUUCGCAGCUGUGUCUCUUAUUCAGGAAAGUACUUUGGUCUCAGUGAAUAUAUCUAGGACACAACGGAAUGUGUAUGAACAUGCCAUGGACGUACGGAAGUGUUCUCAGCUCGGUGUGUAUUCUUGUAGAGCCACGAAUGUUGCUGGUGAAUCAGAAGAUGGGCAACAUACAGUUGUCUUGAAAGGAAUGCCACGUGAACAAGCAUCACAUGCUUUUGUGAUCAUUGGAAAGACUAAUUCGAUGGUUAUCAGCAUUACGCUGUGUUCAUACCCUGG